GUGUCAGCAGCCGCGGUAAUACCAGCUCUCCGAGUGGUGGGGAUGAUUAUUGGGCCUAAAGCAUCCGUAGCCGGCUGGACAAGUCCCCUGUUAAAUCCAACGAUCCAAUCGUUGGUCUGCGGGGGAUACUGUCCGGCUUGGGGGCGGGAGAGGCCGCCGGUAUUUCCGGGGUAGGGGUGAAAUCCUAUAAUCCCGGGAGGACCACCAGUGGCGAAGGCUGUCGGCUAGAACGCGCCCGACGGUGAGGGAUGAAAGCUGGGGGAGCGAACCGGAUUAGAUACCCGGGUAGUCCCAGCUGUAAACGAUGCAGGCUAGGUGUUAGGGCGGCUACGUGCCGCUCUAGUGCCGCAGGGAAGCCGUUAAGCCUGCCGCCUGGGGAGUACGGUCGCAAGGCUGAAACUCAAAUGAAUUGGCGGGG
rnacentral:rRNA from 1 species